rnacentral:lncRNA from 1 species
CUGACAGCAGGGCCGUCGGAAGCGAUAGAUCUGCUGGCUGCAGGCGGAUGUAGGCAGUAGGGGAGGGGCCGGCCGGCCAGGGCGGCUGGCAGCCAAGUGCUAGGCGCACGAUCAUGGUGAGAGGAGGGCCGGGCCGCCCCUGGCUCUGGAUCGAGAUGUGGCCACCGCUGGCUCGCCGGGGACUUGGGGUCCUCGUUUGGCUCGCUAGAUCAGGAAGGCGCCGCCGUGCUGGACUGCCGGAGGACGGAGGUGGCCCGACAGGAGGCCGGAGGCGCUAGGCAGCGGAGGUGGGGUCACGGCGAGCCAGUGCCGGGGAUGGCGCGUCUCACGAAGUCCCAAUCGGGGCAAGGGGCGAGGUCCGCGCGGGGCGAGGUCCGCGCGCCGAGGGAGGAGGCGGGCGAGGUCCGCGCGGGGCGAGGUCCGUGCGGCGAGGGAGGAGGCGGGCGAGGUCCGCGCGCCGAGGGAGGAGGCGGGCGAGGGCGAGGUCCGCGGGAGGUGGGCGAGGGGGGCGCGCGGGACGACGUUCGCAGGAGGCAGGAUGAAAGCGGGAGGGGAAAAUGUCGCACCAAAACGAUGUCCCCUCUUUAGUCUUUUUAGUUGUAGGAGAUAUGGAGUGGUGGUUGUCAGAUCAACAACAAGCUUCAAAUCAAAUUAUAUUGAAGCAUGGUGAGUAUAGAUAGCUACGAGCCCACACAAGUCUUGGCUAUGAAAGUGCCCAUUGCAAUUAUUAAUAGAUACUACUGCAUAAACUUUUUUGGACGUAGGCAAAAUGGAGUAACCGAGGCUGACAUCACAACCACCUCGGUCCAAAGGUCAAAGUAAAUCAAUCUUUUCCAAGGUAGUUCAAAUGCCCGCCUCGUUAAAUCAAAUAAAAAAAGAGCAAACCCGUGGACAAGCCCACCGAGCCCAUCCACAAGCCCCCUGAGCCCAUCCACGGCCGCCACUGAUCCCACCGCACCAGACACCACCGAAGAAAGGCCAAGCCCUGUGUCACGCAUCCACCACUGGAUCCGAUUGCACCACUAUUGGAUCCGUGCCUGUCUCCAGAACUAGAUCCGCCGCUGAGGCAGCAUGUGCGGCCAAAAUCCGGCCACUCCACCACAAGAUCCUAUGCAUGGGGAGGAGGAGCACUGGAUCAGAGGGAGAGGGGUGCCACAACAGCUAUUGGAGGGUGGUGGAGGGUGCCGCUGCUGCAGGAGGCCCUGCAGCCUCGCCCGCGCCACCACAAGAGGCUCCACGACGUAGCCUACCGGGAAUCACACUCGCUAGGGAGAGGGAGAGGUGCUGCCAUUACCGAGGUGCUAUGGGCAGGGCUUGGCUUGGGGAGGGAGAGGCGCGGGUCUUGGGAAGAGGCGUUAGGGCUCGCCGGGGUGAGGGAGGCACAGGAGAGGGAGGGAGGGAGGGGGAAGGGAGAGGCGUUAGCUGUUGGGAGAGGAAGAGGCGGGCUCAGGAGGAAGGGAUGCACGAGUGAUGGCCG